rnacentral:rRNA from 1 species
AUUGAACGCUGGCGGCAGGCCUAACACAUGCAAGUCGAGCGGAGCGGCGGACGGGUGAGUAAUGCCUAGGAAUCUGCCUGGUAGUGGGGGGUAACGUCCGGAAACGGGCGCUAAUACAGCAUACUCUCAGGUGAGCCUAGGUCGGAUUAGCUAGUUGGUGGGGUAAAGGCCUACCAAGGCGACGAUCCGUAACUGGUCUGAGAGGAUGAUCAGUCACACGGGAACGGAGACACGGUCCAGACUCCUACGGGAGGCAGCAGUGGGGAAUAUUGGACAAUGGGCGAAAGCCUGAUGCAGCCAUGCCGCGUGUGUGAAGAAGGUCUUCGGAUUGUAAAGCACUUUAAGCUGGGAGGCGUUACCAACAGAAGAAGCACCGGCUAACUUCGUGCCAGCAGCCGCGGUAAUAC